GAGGAAUAUUGGGCAAUGCCCGCAAGGGUGACCCAGCAACGCCGCGUGGAGGAUGAAUGUCGUAAGAUUGUAAACUCCUGUUAGAGGGGAAGAAUAGUACCGGUUGGACCGGUAUAUGACUGUACCCUCAGAGAAAGCCCUGGCUAACUACGUGCCAGCAGCCGCGGUAAUACGUAGGGGGCAAGCGUUGUCCGGAUUUACUGGGUGUAAAGGGCGCGCAGGCGGGAUAAAAAGUCAGUGGUGAAAUCCUACAGCUUAACUGUAGAACUGCCUUUGAUACUUUUAUUCUUGAGUUCGGGAGAGAGAGACGGAAUUCCAGGUGUAGUGGUGAAAUACGUAGAUAUCUGGAAGAACACCAGUUGCGAAGGCGGUCUCUUGGUCCGACACUGACGCUGAGGCGCGAAAGCGUGGGGAGCUAACA
rnacentral:rRNA from 1 species